AACAAGGUCUCCGUUGGUGAACCAGCGGAGGGAUCAUUACCGAGUUUACAACUCCCAAACCCCUGUGAACAUACCACUUGUUGCCUCGGCGGAUCAGCCCGCUCCCGGUAAAACGGGACGGCCCGCCAGAGGACCCCUAAACUCUGUUUCUAUAUGUAACUUCUGAGUAAAACCAUAAAUAAAUCAAAACUUUCAACAACGGAUCUCUUGGUUCUGGCAUCGAUGAAGAACGCAGCAAAAUGCGAUAAGUAAUGUGAAUUGCAGAAUUCAGUGAAUCAUCGAAUCUUUGAACGCACAUUGCGCCCGCCAGUAUUCUGGCGGGCAUGCCUGUUCGAGCGUCAUUUCAACCCUCAAGCACAGCUUGGUGUUGGGACUCGCGUUAAUUCGCGUUCCCCAAAUUGAUUGGCGGUCACGUCGAGCUUCCAUAGCGUAGUAGUAAAACCCUCGUUACUGGUAAUCGUCGCGGCCACGCCGUUAAACCCCAACUUCUGAAUGUUGACCUCGGAUCAGGUAGGAAUACCCGCUGAACUUAAGCAUAUAACAAGG
rnacentral:rRNA from 1 species